rnacentral:lncRNA from 1 species
CAAUAUUCCAGCCAGCAUUGAAUAGAAAUGGAAAAGGAAAAAUGCUUCCUUCAUUAACCUAAGGAAACCGAGACCAAGAAUGUAUAUCACCAGCCAAGCCAAAAACGUUGCAGCCACCCCCCAAAUGAAAAAGAAAUUUCCGAGUCUGAGAAGAAAAUGCAAGGUGACGGCUCCUUCAUCCAAAAUCAUACAAUGCAAUUAGAAGUUCCAUAGGAAAACUUUCAAAGCCAAAAAAAUGCUCUCAGCCGAGAGAAUCCAGUCAGAAUGUGUGACGGCUUCUAGGUUUCCUUAGGACCAUGUGUCCUCCUAAAUAGGGGUGGGGUCCACCCUAAAAUAAAAGGAAACCCUAGGUGCCAAGUGUCCUAAAAAAUUGGG